UGAAGACCACACCUUCAGGGUCCCAAACAGUCUCUCCAGCUUUAAGCAAGUCUACAGGGAGUUUGGCCUCAUCACGUAGGACAUCAACAGAGCAGCUCCUUAGCAGCUAGCCAGCUAGUUUAACUAAGUCCCCGGUAUAAAGGUGAUCAAGGCCUGAGCCCGGCCUCUCAGUCUCCAGGAUGUAGUAUGGUGGUCACUCACUGCUGGUUCCUUCUUCCAGUCAAUGAAAGCCGAUAUCUCGC